GCCAGUGUAGCUCACUGGUUAGAGCAUUAGCCUUUGGACUGAAAGGUCCCGGGUUCGACUCCGGUCAAGGGCA
rfam:Myotis brandtii contig247211, whole genome shotgun sequence.